rnacentral:misc_RNA from 1 species
GAUGAAGACGUAGCGAAAUGCGAUAAGUAAUGUGAAUUGCAGAAUUCAGUGAAUCAUCGAGUCUUUGAACGCACAUUGCGCCCCCUGGUAUUCCGGGGGGCAUGCCUGUCCGAGCGUCAUUGCUGCCCUCAAGCACGGCUUGUGUGUUGGGCCCCCGUCCCCGGUUUCCCCCGGGGACGGGCCCGAAAGGCAGCGGCGGCACCGCGUCCGGUCCUCGAGCGUAUGGGGCUUUGUCACCCGCUCUGUAGGCCCGGCCGGCGCCAGCCGACACCCAACUUUAUUUCUAAGGUUGACCUCGGAUCAGGUAGGGAUACCCGCUGAACUUAAGCAUAUCAAUAAGCGGAGGA